UCUUUGUUUGUAUAGUGGUAAGUAUUCCUGCCUGCCAUGCAAGAGAUUGAGGUUCAAUUUCCAAAAAGUA